UUCUAAAGUGCUGCAGAAUCAAAGGCCAAGGGCAUGUUAGGUUCAUGGAGUAUGGACUCCACCCAGACAUAAGGUUUUCAUUCACUAAGACUGUUGCUGCUGCAGGGAAUGCAAAUGUGAAUCAUGCCCUGGACUGAAAAAUCACACCUGCAAUACCAUACUAUCAACCACACAUUUGCAUAGCAAGUUA